rnacentral:rRNA from 1 species
ACCGUACUCCUACGGGAGGCAGCAGUAGGGAAUCUUCCGCAAUGGACGAAAGUCUGACGGAGCAACGCCGCGUGAGUGAUGAAGGCUUUCGGGUCGUAAAACUCUGUUGUUAGGGGAGAACAAGUACAAGAGUAACUGCUUAUACCUUGACGGUACCUAACCAGAAAGCCACGGCUAACUACGUGCCAGCAGCCGCGGUAAUACGUAGGUGGCAAGCGUUAUCCGGAAUUAUUGGGCGUAAAGCGCGCGCAGGCGGUUUCUUAAGUCUGAUGUGAAAGCCCACGGCUCAACCGUGGAGGGUCAUUGGAAACUGGGGAACUUGAGUGCAGAAGAGAAAAGCGGAAUUCCACGUGUAGCGGUGAAAUGCGUAGAGAUGUGGAGGAACACCAGUGGCGAAGGCGGCUUUUUGGUCUGUAACUGACGCUGAGGCGCGAAAGCGUGGGGAGCAAACAGGAUUAGAAACCCCUGUAGUCCUUGAC